rnacentral:rRNA from 1 species
ACAUACCUACAACUGUUGCUUCGGCGGGUAGGGUCUCCGCGACCCUCCCGGCCUCCCGCCUCCGGGCGGGUCGGCGCCCGCCGGAGGAUAACCAAACUCUGAUUUAACGACGUUUCUUCUGAGUGGUACAAGCAAAUAAUCAAAACUUUUAACAACGGAUCUCUUGGUUCUGGCAUCGAUGAAGAACGCAGCGAAAUGCGAUAAGUAAUGUGAAUUGCAGAAUUCAGUGAAUCAUCGAAUCUUUGAACGCACAUUGCGCCCGCCAGCAUUCUGGCGGGCAUGCCUGUUCGAGCGUCAUUUCAACCCUCAAGCUCUGCUUGGUGUUGGGGCCCUACAGCCGAUGUAGGCCCUCAAAGGUAGUGGCGGACCCUCCCGGAGCCUCCUUUGCGUAGUAACUUUACGUCUCGCACUGGGAUCCGGAGGGACUCUUGCCGUAAAACCCCCCAAUUUUCCAAAGGUUGACCUCGGAUCAGGUAGGAAUACCCGCUGAACUUAAGCAUAUCAAUAAGCGGAGG